UAGAAACGCAUUCAAUUUUCGAUUACCUUAACUUGUUUCCCGUUUUGCGUACUCAAAUUGGAUAUGAAUUGCUUUUAUUAGAUUUUUACUGCAGUUUAUGAGAAACAAAAAGUUUUUUUAUACGCUAUUUAGAAGCAUUUGUCGCGUAGUAUAUUAUUACUUAGAAUUCAAAGGAAACAACUUCCUGAAGAUUUGCUUGAAAACCCACAGGAUCUGACUAUAUUGAAGUAUACGCCAUUCAUGUUUAACCCGGGUACUAUACGCGACACUAAAAAGAACACUAACUUUAAACCUACGAAAAAGGAAUUGUCAGAGGCAUUUAUUUUACAAGUUCAUGACUUGACUACUUUUAAUGAACAGAUAAAAUUAAGAGAAAAGAUUAUU